rnacentral:rRNA from 1 species
UACGGAGGGUGCAAGCGUUAUCCGGAUUUACUGGGUUUAAAGGGUGUGUAGGCGGACUUUUAAGUCAGCGGUGAAAUCUCCGGGCUCAACCCGGAAACUGCCAUUGAUACUAUUAGUCUUGAAUCUUGUUGAGGUAGGCGGAACGGGUCAUGUAGCGGUGAAAUGCAUAGAUAUGACCCGGAACACCGAUUGCGAAGGCAGCUCGCUACACGAAUAUUGACUCUGAGGCACGAAAGCGUGGGGAUCAAACAGG